rnacentral:rRNA from 1 species
GUAGGGUGCAAGCGUUAAUCGGAAUUACUGGGCGUAAAGCGCACGCAGGCGGUUUGUUAAGUCAGAUGUGAAAUCCCCGGGCUCAACCUGGGAACUGCAUCUGAUACUGGCAAGCUUGAGUCUCGUAGAGGGGGGUAGAAUUCCAGGUGUAGCGGUGAAAUGCGUAGAGAUCUGGAGGAAUACCGGUGGCGAAGGCGGCCCCCUGGACGAAGACUGACGCUCAGGUGCGAAAGCGUGGGGAGCAAACAGGAUUAGAUACCCUGGUAGUCCACGCCGUAAACGAUGUCGACUUGGAGGUCGUGCCCUUGAGGCGUGGCUUCCGGAGCUAACGCGUUAAGUCGACCACCUGGGGAGU